CAGACAGAGGAGAAAACCUGGGGGAAGGCAAAUAGGAAGAGGAGCGAGUGGUAUUCGGGCCGAGACGAAGAAGCGCAUGCUUCAUUAAGUGAGGAAGUAAUCCUGGCUAAUUAAGGCUCUCCAUGACAGCGCUGUCAAGGAUGACUGAUCCUUCAAAUGGCACCUCCCUCUUCUGACUGACAGUCAGACUGCUCUCACUGCUUUGAAGGUUUCACCUCUGCUGCGACGGUGCGGCGUGCGAACACACGAGCGGCAUAGUCAUCACUGCAGGCACGAAGAAGAGUGGGCGCAAGGACAGUAGAGGUUGUUUUUUUUUUUGGACGACCGAUACCUGAACGAGCCAGUGGUUCCAGAAGCAGGAGGGAUCCGCCGCCAUCUUUGUUACUCGGACUGAAGCCUGGAAAGACGGAGGGCCUGGUGCUGCUGGAGCUGGAUGUUUUGCUUGGACAACAGUAUGACUUGGCCCAUCAGAAGUGGCUGUCCGCCAGGACUCCUCUCAGCUCACCUCCCUGAAGAUUCCUGGCUCUACAGAAACAGGAAAGGGCGUCUGGAAAUUGGAUGAGAUGUUCGUUUAGCGGGCAGCUGGUCUGGGGCCGAUAUGAAUUGCGUUUCCCCACGCCAGAAAAGGUCAAGCCCCCUCGCCUUGACAGAGUGCAUCAGCCUAUUGAGUGGCGCUUUAGUCCAUUUACCAGCAACCAAUGGCACGGCGGCGCAUGGGAGAGAGUGAGGUACAAAAACUCUGUGUAGUAAAGAGAAAAGAAUGACAACACGUCAGAUAUAAAUUCAUUGUUUCUCAUCACCCAGCUGGGGCAGGAAUGGCUGGGAGUGAUUGCUGGGAUGGGGGGAGUGGGAGAGGAAUACUGCCAUCUGAGUGGGCUUUGCAUAUGUGAGAAAAGAGAUGAGCACCCCUCCUUUACCAGCAGUGAUACAACAUCUGACUUUGGUGCAAAUGUUUAAAACUAAAACACAAAAAAUAGGUAAUUGUGGGAAUUUGGUUAAAAAAAUUAUACAGUAGAGCCGUUUUACUCUCAUUUAUCAAGUAACAGAGUGGUUCUCAAACCAUAAGGGUUUUAAAACUUUACCCCCUUUAUUGACACCUAUAACCAUAGAAAAAUCAUUAAAAAAAAUAAAAGAGGUGUAUGUGAAGUAGUGCAGUCGGUGUCAAGAAAGUUGAUAAGAAAUCCAUUAGCAAACAGUUCAGUGUUCUUCCUGGUGUAUUUUAUUUUUUGACAUUUUGGUUUUAUGAUAUUGUCAAUCUCCCAGCAGCCAAAAUCUUACUGGUUUUAAACAGAAUUGGAAAGACACUGGCAUUUCAUUAGUGUGUACCAUUAGAAAAUAAGUCAAACCAAAUAACAAAAUCUUAACAAAGAAACAGCAAUAAGGUUAUUAAUGUAAUUCACAAACUCAUUUACACACCUAAAUGCUGCAAGUAAAAAUAUUUAAUGCAAGGCAACUGAACAAAUUACUUUAAAAAGAAUAAAGAACAAAAAGAAAACCCUUCACUUGGUUCUGCCCAGUGAUGCACUCAGUGACAUCAUGCGCCAAUUUAAAUAGGAAAUGCUGGCCCGUCCCCCACACCUGUUCUGGAUUUGUAAUCUAAAGGGAUGAACAAUGUUGAGUAUUCAAGAAACAAACAAAAGGAAUUUGCCAAUAAUGUACGUUGGAACAGAAGA